GUGUAGGGUGCCAGAUACUGUUUCAUCCCAAUAUCAGCCUCUUCACAGAACUCUACUAUUUGGUUGUUCAGGUUCAUUGCAUGUGCAAUGCUGCCGUGACCUGAGAGAGACGGUGCUGAAGAAAGGAAUCCCACUAGGAUCUUGCCAAAGACUUCCUUAGCAAAUCUGCGGAUUGAGCUCCUCGGUAUUAGAAGAUUCAACCAAGGGUGUGGAACUUCCCAGAGGCCUUGUGCCCUCAGCUUCAACUCAGAGGUGUGGACCCUGUCCAAGAACUCCAGGCUCACCUGUUCCAUGAUAUCAGCGUCGUCACUAUUGAAGUUCUUGGUUAGCUCGAGGCAGUAUAGUACUCUUCCAUCCGACUUAAAAUGGCUUGCUUGGACUGGGUCUUGUGGCUUGAAGGACGCCCUCCAGUUGUUGAGGAUGCCUGUCCUGUUUAUGAUGACAAAACCUUCAAUGUAGUCAAAGGAGUUCUCUGCCAUGAUCAACAUCUCCUGGUCCUCGGUGAAGGUUUCAAAAUCCGAGCUCAAGUGCAAUCCUUGCUCUGAUGAUGAUCCCGAACUGACCAAGACCGCCAAGAGCACCAUAGAAGAGAUCAGAGUUAUCCUCGGUGCUCGCCACAGGGCUACCUUCCAGAACACGGCCUGGCCUUCAAGCUGGGGCCAACCACUACACCAACAAUGGUGUGGAUCGUGGAUGGAUGGCGCCACCAUUGAUUCGAAGUGUUGGCAAAUGACAACCUUUAAGCGUUUGACCUUGACGGCGCCCGUCCGUUGCAAUGCACCGUUGUGUCAAUGCGGUCCACACAAUUCAUCGUCAACAGUCACACGUAUGUAUAUGCUAGCUGGAAAGCCAAAUGCGUACUGUGUUUUGAGCCUACGUGGAAUAUAGACAGAUAUAUGCAUGGGAUUUGGCUACUGUUCCCCCCCUUUUUUUUCCAUUUCCUUUUGUCUUGGUCUACUUUUCAGACAUUUAUUCGAUCAGAUGGAAUGGAAGUUGACAUAAUUUCAUUGAUUUGACUGUGCUCAUCCCUCCAUGGAGAUUUUCUCCAUUUUAUUACCUAAAAAGAUACAGUAUAUCAGUAUUACUUUAGUUGAUGGUCAGUUUCUGACCAGUUUAAGAAAAGAUGAUAAUAAUGAUACGGUGCUUGCGAGGUACUCUUCGGACUGCAUGAUGCAAUGGUACCACACAAGGGGCCUCCAUUUGCCGCCCAGCACAGUAGUUAUGGACGAGUCAACCGAUUGAGAUGGUACCAAUGAUAGACGCCAUUGUGCACAGGUGUUGUUAUUUGUUUGUGUUCUUGCAUGCACUGCUGACUGCAUGGCCAAGCAACUGAUGUGUGAGCAAGACAAACACUGCCAGCGCGUUCUGUUCUGAGGGAGAUGCUCGUGCAUGCAUGCCGGCAUGGGAGACCGGACCUGAUCGAGGAAGCAGGGAGGCGGCCGGAGAGCGAUCGCCGGUGCGGCCCGGCCUUGAGAUCGCGCGGAAGUGGACUCCGGGGACCCAUCCCCCACGUGGCCUUCUUGACAUAUUCGCCGGUGGCUUUCGGCCUGCGGGACCCAGUGGCGGACGUGUCAGGCCCUGGCAUGCAUGGUGCACAAAACCCACAGCCUGUGGGGCCAUGGCCCACCCUGCUGUUUGGUUCUGGGAUCUUGUAUUUUUCUCAUCUGCAUGAGGAUGGCAGUUGGCAGGUAUUGUUGAGAACAAAGCAAAGCUCGGGAAACCAUUCCCAAGUUUUUAGAAAUGGCAAGUGGGUGGUUAUUCAUCAGAAACAACCUCGAUCAUCAGACGAUAGCAAUUCUGCAGUGACAUGGCUAGCUUCACCUUGACCACAGUUGGGCUUUAGAAAAAAAAAAAUAUAUAUGAUUACAACUAGUGAACUUGACUUGUAUAGAUAUUUAUAGAUAGUAUAUGCUGACCUAUCUAUGUUGGCAUUAUUUUUCAGAUGCGUGCUGUGUCUGGUCUGGAAAACAGAUGUGCAUCACAAGCUGGUCCAAAGCACCACGUACGUGCUUUCUUUCUUUCUUUCUUUGUCAUCUCAAUUGUGUGCCAACGUGAAUAUAUGUACAUCAGUCAUCGUGUCGAGCUACCCAUGGGCGGCAACCUUCUUUAGUUUCCAACUCCUUUUUGACCGGUUUUCGUCGGAUCAAUAGUGCCAGAUGCAUGCGUGUAAGAGAUGGAGUGUGAUGGCAGAGAGCGACUGAAUUGAACGUUCACUGAACCAAUAACCAAUCGAUCUAGCUAGUGCGUUGGUCUAUAUGAUCAAACUAUGAAAACAGCGUGACAAGUAUGAAAAACUA